CCUACGGGAGGCUGCAGUAGGGAAUCUUCGUCAAUGGGCGCAAGCCUGAACGAGCAAUGCCGCGUGAACGAGGAAGGUCUUCGGAUCGUAAAGUUCUGUUGAAGGGGAAAAAGAGCGGAGAGAGGGACUGGUCUCCGAUUGAUAUUACCCUUCGAGGAAGUCACGGCUAACUACGUGCCAGCAGCCGCGGUAAUACGUAGGUGGCGAGCGUUAUCCGGAAUGAUUGGGCGUAAGGGGUGCGUAGGCGGCCUGCUAAGUCGGGGGUGAAAGGUACCGGCUCAACCGGUACAGGCUCUGGAAACUGGCGGGCUAGAGAGCAGGAGAGGGCGGUGGAACUCCAUGUGUAGCGGUAAAAUGCGUAGAUAUAUGGAAGAACACCAGUGGCGAAGGCGGCCGCCUGGCCUGUUACUGACGCUGAGGCACGAAAGCGUGGGGAGCAAAUAGGAUUAGAUACCCCGGUAGUC
rnacentral:rRNA from 1 species